UAGUUACAUAAUCUAAAUAAAAUGAUUAAAGCAAAAACCAAAAUUAUUAAUCAUCUUAAGAUAUCACAGUAAGAAUUCGCGCUGGAUCACCUGUACAACGAGGCCCGAAACCAGCGAACAAUCUAAUCGCCGACUAAUAAAAUUUAAUUA